CUGAAGGAAACUUAGAUUGUUCCUGUGCCUUGGCUAUUGUGAAGAAUGCUGCAGUGAAUAUGAGGGUGCACGUGUCUCUUUGAGGUAGUGAUUUCAUUUCCUUCGGAUAUACACCCAGAAGUGGGAUUGCUGCAUCACAGGGUAGUUCUAUUUUUAAUUUUUUGAGGAACUUCCAUACUGGUUUCCACUGUGGCUGCAUCAGUUGGCAUUUCUACCAUCAGUGCACAAGGAUUCUCUUUUCUCCACAUCCUCACCAGCACC